AUUAUGUUUUAUUCUCAAAAUCACUUGGAUCUGUUUGUUUUUCUGUAACAAUAUUUGUUGAGGUUUCUACACGUAGAAUGAAAUAAAUGCAAAUAUAUAUUCGAGUUUUGGAAAGAAAAAGGAAAAAAAUAAAGUGCAGCAAAUAUAGCUGAAAAACAUCUGAUUUGUAAUAGGAAUUAAAGCUGGUAUAAUUCCAUUGAAUUGAAUAAUAUUAUUGUAAUACACACACAAUAAUAAUAUAUCGCUAAAGUAAGAUAGCACAA